rnacentral:snoRNA from 1 species
AAAAGGUGUGAUGAUGCUUAUCCACAUUAUCCGUCGAGUUCAUUAAUGAUGAAUUCAAAUACAUGCACUGCCAUCUGAUCUUAC